rnacentral:tRNA from 1 species
GUUAUCGUAGCUUACCCCGCACCAUAAAGCAUGGCCCUGAAGCAGCCAAGACGGAUCCUAUACUCCCGAAAAC